rnacentral:misc_RNA from 1 species
GGAUGAAGAACGUAGCGAAAUGCGAUAAGUAGUGUGAAUUGCAGAAUUCAGUGAAUCAUCGAAUCUUUGAACGCACAUUGCGCCCCUUGGUAUCCCGAGGGGCAUGCCUGUUCGAGCGUCAUUUCACCACUCAAGCCUGGCUUGGUGUUGGGCGACGUCCUCUUUGGGGACGCGCCUCGAAACGCUCGGCGGCGUGGCACCGGCUUUAAGCGUAGCAGAAUCUUUCGCUUUGGAAGUCGGGGCCCCGUCUGCCGGAAGACCUGCUCGCAAGGUUGACCUCGGAUCAGGCAGGGAUACCCGCUGAACUUAAGCAUAUCAAUAAGCGGAGGA